rnacentral:rRNA from 1 species
UACGUAGGGGGGCAAGCGUUGUCCGGAAUCAUUGGGCGUAAAGCGCGUGUAGGCGGUCCGAUAAGUUCGCUGUGAAAGUCGGGGGCUUAACCCUCGGAUGCCGGUGAAUACUGUCGGGCUUGAGUACGGAAGAGGCGAGUGGAAUUCCUGGUGUAGCGGUGAAAUGCGCAGAUAUCAGGAGGAACACCAAUGCGAAGGCAGCUCGCUGGGACGUUACUGACGCUGAGACGCGAAAGCGUGGGGAGCAAACAGG